GCGAUAGACAGUCAUCGGCCAAGGGGAACCGAUAAGUGAGCCACCUGGGGAGUACGGCCGCAAGGUUGAAACUCAAAGGAAUUGACGGGGUCUCCGCACAAGCGGUGGAACAUGUGGUUUAAUUCGAUGAUACGCGAGGAACCUUACCUGGGCUUAAAUGUGAAGUGCAUUGAUUGGAAACAAUCAGUUCCUUCGGGACCCUUUACAAGGUGCUGCAUGGUUGUCGUCAGCUCGUGCCGUGAGGUGUCGGGUUAAGUCCCAUAACGAGCGCAACCCCUAUUGUUAGUUACCAGCGCGUGAUGGCGGGGACUCUAGCGAAACUGCCGGUGUAAACCGCGAGGAAGGUGGGGAUGACGUCAAAUCAGCACGGCCCUUAUGUCCAGGGCUACACACGUGUUACAAUGGCCGGUACAGCGGGCAGCUAGGCAGCGAUGUCAUGCUAAUCCCGAAAGCCGGUCCCAGUUCGGAUUGGAGUCUGCAACCCGACUCCAUGAAGGUGGAAUCGCUAGUAAUCGCGCAUCAGCCAUGGCGCGGUGAUACGUUCCCGGGCAUUGUACACACCGCCCGUCAAGCCAUGGAAGUCUGGGGUGCACUGAAGGCCGUAACCGCAAGGAGCGGUCUAGGGUAAACAGAUGACUGGG
rnacentral:rRNA from 1 species